rnacentral:rRNA from 1 species
AUGUCUCUUUGAAAUAAAAAUAAAGAGUCUGGCCUGCCCGGUGACAUAGUUUAACGGCUGCAGUAUCCUGACUGUGCAAAGGUAGCAUAAUAACUUGCCUUUUAAUUGGAGGAUAGAAUCAAUGGCUUGACGAGAGCAAAGCUGUCUUUUUUAUUUUUACUAGAAUUUAUUUUUUAAGUUAAAAAGCUUAAAUGUAACUAAAAGACGAUAAGACCCUAUUGAGCUUAAAAAAAACAAAGUGGUUAUUUAUUAUCUGAUUAGAUUAAUGAUAAUUUUGAGAGAUUUUAGUUGGGGCGACUGUGGAGUACAAGAAACCUCCGUAUUAGAAAAAUAAUUACUAUUUUCGAUCCAUAAUUUGUGAUAAGUGGAAUUAGUUACCAUAGGGAUAACAGCGCACUACUUUUAAGGAGAUCAGAUUUUUAAAAGAGGUCGCGACCUCGAUGUUGGAUUAAGGUAUACUGAAAGGCGCAGAAGCUUUUUAAGUUAGUCUGUUCGACUAUUAAAUCCUU